rnacentral:lncRNA from 1 species
CUCUUUUCCAUCAAUCACACUACUAUGGCUACAAAUUCUCGAACUUACUCGCUCAAAUCCUAAAGGACUACUCUUUUCUAUCAAAAUCGAUAGAUCCCAUCUUGAUGCACACCCUACUCCUAUAGUGGAUCAAUUAUCAUCGAUAUCCACUACAAUGGCUCAUUGAGACUCAUGUUUAUAUGUCAAUCAAACUACAGCAACCUCACUACGAGCAACGAUGCCAU